UUUCCGUAGGUGAACCCGCGGAAGGAUCAUUAUUGUAUAACCGAGGUGCGAGGGCUGUCGCUGACCCGAAAGGUCGUGCACGCCCGAGUGCCCUCACACACAUCCAUCUCACCCCUAUGUGCACCACCGCGUGGGUCCCCCUUUGGCUUGUUCGGAGGGGGGCUUACGUUUUCACACAAACUUUGUAUGCAGUGUAGAAUGUAUUUUUUGUUUUUGCGAUCACGCAAUCAAUACAACUUUCAACAACGGAUCUCUUGGCUCUG
rnacentral:misc_RNA from 1 species